rfam:Cavia porcellus supercont2_2 genomic scaffold, whole genome shotgun sequence.
UGGCGCCCCAACGUGGGACCCGAGAAUGGGGGACUUAGUGAGGGACACUGCUCGUGGGCCCAAAGUAGAAAAAGGAAAAGAAAACAGAGGACCGAUGUGGAAGCCUGCCAUGCUGCUGAACCUCGGUAAGUGAACAGAGAUUACGGGACAAGAAAUUAGCCAGCAUGAGACUUUUGUUGAAAGUUUUGAAGAGCUUUAAAGAUGCAAAGGGUAAAGGAAAAAAAAUUUAGCAAUUGUGUCCACUAGGACAA